rnacentral:rRNA from 1 species
AACGAACGCUGGCGGCAUGCCUAACACAUGCAAGUCGAACGAGACCUUCGGGUCUAGUUGCGCACGGGUGCGUAACGCGUGGGAACCUGCCCUUAGGUUCGGAAUAACUCCCCGAAAGGGGUGCUAAUACCGGAUAAUGUCUUCGGACCAAAGAUUUAUCGCCUUUGGAUGGGCCCGCGUUGGAUUAGCUAGUUGGUAGGGUAAAGGCCGACCAUGGCGACGAUUCAUAGCUGGUCUGAGAGGAUGACCAGCCCCACUGGGAUCGAGACACGGCCCAGACUCAUAAGGGAGGCAGCAGUGGGGAAGAGAGGCCACUGGGCGAAAGCCAGAUCCAGCGAUGCCGGGGGAGUGAUGAAGGCAUUAGGGUUGUAAAGCUCUUUUACCCGGGAUGAUAAUGACAGUACCGGGAGAAAAAGCUCCGGCUAACUCCGU